UCAGCUUUUAGUGCGAUUAGCAUAUUAGUUAUUAAGUCAUUUAUAUUUUAAUUAAUUAACGAAAGAAUUUUAGGGGAGAAAGAGGCCCAAUAUUUCCAGGAUAACUGUUCGCUUGAAGGUUUGUGAUGGAAUUCAUCUUUGAUAUGUUUGAAGUCACACACCGAUGAGGGGCCUUCUGUUGCACAGGGAUUCUCACUGGUGUAUGACUCCAAUCAUUUACUAUUCAUCAUCAUCAUCUUUCCAGACGCACAAUGAGUUUGAAACCGAAUUUUGUUUGUUUGUUUUUGUAUAUUAUUCCUGUAACUUUUUUUAGCCUUUAAUUUUUUUUUUAAAUAAUUCUAUCUGAAUUUUAUAUUUACUGUUGGAUAAAAAGUGUUUUAUAAAUAAGUUGGGGUAAUACGGUUUGUUCGGACUUACGCUGGUGUGAUACUCAUUGGAAUGUUGGCCGUUUCUCACCAGUGUGAGUCCUAAUAGACCUAAAUAAUGGAGAUGGUGCUGUAAAAUAAAUACUAAAAAGAUGCAAGUCAAACCUUAUCAGAUGGAUUGUAAAUGAAAAUACAAUUUUAUUUAACUGUAUGACCUUCGUCAAAUAAAUGUCUUAACAAAUU